UACGGAGGGUGCAAGCGUUAAUCGGAAUUACUGGGCGUAAAGCGCACGCAGGUGGCUGAGUCAGUCGAUUGUGAAAGCCCUGGGCUUAACCUGGGAAUUGCAGUCGAUACUACUCAGCUAGAGUAUGGGAGAGGGUAGUGGAAUUCCCGGUGUAGCGGUGAAAUGCGCAGAUAUCAGGAGGAACACCGAUGGCGAAGGCAGGUCUCUGGGCCAUUACUGACACUGAGAAGCGAAAGCAUGGGGAGCGAACAGG
rnacentral:rRNA from 1 species